AACGUAGGGGACAAGCGUUAUCCGGAUUUACUGGGCGUAAAGCGCCCGUAGGCGGCCUGACAAGUUGGACGUGAAAGCUCCUGGCUUAACUGGGAGAGGCCGUUCAAAACUGUCAAGCUAGAGUCUGGAAGAGGAGAGCGGAAUUCCCGGUGUAGUGGUGGAAUGCGUAGAGAUCGGGAGGAACACCAGUGGCGAAAGCGGCUCUCUGGUCCAAAACUGACGCUGAGGGGCGAAAGCGUGGGGAGCGAAUGGG
rnacentral:rRNA from 1 species